rnacentral:rRNA from 1 species
GAUUACGGCCAUACCACCUUAGGCACGCCCGAUCUCGUAUGAUCUCGGAAGCUAAGCAGGGUCGGGCCUGGUUAGUACUUGGAUGGGUGACCGCCUGGGAAUACCAGGUGCUGUAAGCA